rnacentral:rRNA from 1 species
UAUUGCACAAUGGGGGAAACCCUGAUGCAGCGACGCCGCGUGAGUGAAGAAGUAUCUCGGUANGUAAAGCUCUAUCAGCAGGGAANNAANNNANGGUACCUGAUUAAGAAGCCCCGGCUAACUACGUGCCAGCAGCCGCGGUAAUACGUAGGGGGCAAGCGUUAUCCGGAUGUACUGGGUGUAAAGGGAGCGUCGACGGCAGCGCAAGUCUGGAGUGAAAUGCCGGGGCCCAACGCCGGAACUGCUUUGGAAACUGUGCAGCUCGAGUGCAGGAGAGGUAAGCGGAAUUCCUAGUGUAGCGGUGAAAUGCGUAGAUAUUAGGAGGAACACCAGUGGCGAAGGCGGCUUACUGGACUGUAACUGACGUUGAGGCUCGAAAGCGUGGGGAGCAA